UCAAACGUGAUAGGUUCCAAUCUAGU
rnacentral:piRNA from 1 species